rnacentral:rRNA from 2 species
CCUACGGGGGGCUGCAGUGGGGAAUAUUGCACAAUGGGGGGAACCCUGAUGCAGCAACGCCGCGUGAGUGAAGAAGCUCUUCGGAGCGUAAAACUCUGUCCUAAGGGAAGAAGAAUGACGGUACCUUAGGAGGAAGCCCCGGCUAACUACGUGCCAGCAGCCGCGGUAACACGUAGGGGGCGAGCGUUAUCCGGAAUUACUGGGCGUAAAGCGUGCGUAGGCGGCCAUGCAAGCUUGGGGUUUAAAGCUGCGGCUUAACCGCAGUACGCCUUUAGAACUGUAUGGCUUGAGUGCAGGAGAGGAGAGUGGAAUUCCUAGUGUAGCGGUGAAAUGCGUAGAGAUUAGGAGGAACACCAGUGGCGAAGGCGACUCUCUGGACUGUAACUGACGCUCAGGCACGAAAGCGUGGGUAGCGAACAGGAUUAGAUACCCCUGUAGUC